rnacentral:rRNA from 1 species
CCUACGGGGGGCAGCAGUGGGGAAUAUUGGACAAUGGGGGCAACCCUGAUCCAGCCAUGCCGCGUGUGUGAAGAAGGCCCUCGGGUUGUAAAGCACUUUCAGUGAGGAAGAACGCCUGGUGGUUAAUACCCAUCAGGAAAGACAUCACUCACAGAAGAAGCACCGGCUAACUCCGUGCCAGCAGCCGCGGUAAUACGGAGGGUGCGAGCGUUAAUCGGAAUUACUGGGCGUAAAGCGCGCGUAGGUGGCUUGAUAAGCCGGUUGUGAAAGCCCCGGGCUCAACCUGGGAACGGCAUCCGGAACUGUCAAGCUAGAGUGCAGGAGAGGAAGGUAGAAUUCCCGGUUAGCGGUGAAAUGCGUAGAGAUCGGGAGGAAUACCAGUGGCGAAGGCGGCCUUCUGGACUGACACUGACACUGAGGUGCGAAAGCGUGGGUAGCAAACAGGAUUAGAUACCCUGGUAGUC